rnacentral:rRNA from 1 species
UGGCGGACGGGUGAGUAACGCGUGGGCAACCUGCCCCAUACAGGGGGAUAACAGUUAGAAAUGACUGCUAACACCGCAUAAGCGCACAGGGCCGCAUGGCCCGGUGUGAAAAACUCCGGUGGUUUGGGAUGGGCCCGCGUCUGAUUAGCCAGUUGGCGGGGUAACGGCCCACCAAAGCGACGAUCAGUAGCCGACCUGAGAGGGUGACCGGCCACAUUGGGACUGAGACACGGCCUAAACUCCUACGGGAGGCAGCAG